GGAAAUUGACGGGGACUCGCACAAGCGGUGGAGCAUGUGGUUAAUUCGAAGCAACGCGAAGAACCUUACCAGGUCUUGACAUCCUUUGAAUGGUCUAGAGAUAGAUCAGGCCUUCGGGACAGAAGAGACAGGUGGUGCAUGGUUGUCGUCAGCUCGUGUCGUGAGAUGUUGGGUUAAGUCCCGCAACGAGCGCAACCCCUAUCUUUAGUUGCCAUCAUUGAGUUGGGCACUCUAAAGAGACUGCCGGUGUCAAACCGGAGGAAGGUGGGGAUGACGUCAAGUCCUCAUGGCCUUUAUGACCAGGGCUACACACGUACUACAAUGGCCGGUACAAAGGGCAGCGACACAGCGAUGUGAAGCGAAUCCCGAAAAGCCGGUCUCAGUCCGGAUUGGAGUCUGCAACUCGACUCCAUGAAGUUGGAAUCGCUAGUAAUCGCGGAUCAGCACGCCGCGGUGAAUACGUUCCCGGGCCUU
rnacentral:rRNA from 1 species